rnacentral:rRNA from 1 species
AGUGAACGCUGGCGGUAGGCCUAACACAUGCAAGUCGAACGGCAGCACAGUAAGAGCUUGCUCUUACGGGUGGCGGGUGGCGGACGGGUGAGGAAUACAUCGGAAUCUACUUUUUCGUGGGGGAUAACGUAGGGAAACUUACGCUAAUACCGCAUACGACCUACGGGUGAAAGCAGGGGAUCUUCGGACCUUGCGCGAUUGAAUGAGCCGAUGUCGGAUUAGCUAGUUGGCGGGGUAAAGGCCCACCAAGGCGACGAUCCGUAGCUGGUCUGAGAGGAUGAUCAGCCACACUGGAACUGAGACACGGUCCAGACUCCUACGGGAGGCAGCAGUGGGGAAUAUUGGGCAAUGGGCGCAAGCCUGAUCCAGCCAUACCGCGUGGGUGAAGAAGGCCUUCGGGUUGUAAAGCCCUUUUGUUGGGAAAGAAAAGCAGCAGGUUAAUACCCCGCUGUUCUGACGGUACCCAAAGAAUAAGCACCGGCUAACUUCGU